rnacentral:rRNA from 1 species
GAUGAACGCUAGCUACAGGCUUAACACAUGCAAGUCGAGGGACCGGCGCACGGGUGAGUAACACGUAUCCAACCUGCCCUUUACUCGGGGACAGCCUUUCGAAAGAAAGAUUAAUACCCGAUAUAAAGGAUGGGGAUGCGUUCCAUUAGGUUGUUGGUGAGGUAACGGCCCACCAAGCCUUCGAUGGCGAGGGGUUCUGAGAGGAAGGUCCCCCGCAUUGGAACUGAGACCCGGUCCAAACUCCUACGGGAGGGAGCGGUGGGGAAUAUUGGUCAAUGAGCGUUAGCCUGAACCAGCCAAGUAGCGUGAAGGGUGAAGGCUUAUGGGUCGUAAACUUCUUUUAUAUAAGAAUAUGUAUUAUAUGAAUAAGGAUCGGCUAACUCCGUGCCAGCAGCCGCGGUAAUAC